GAAACAAGCAAUUACCAAAGUUUGUCUUCUUCCCACAGUCUGCUAAAUCAAAAGCCUCUGUUUCUUCCCCUCAUUCAACUCCUUCAAGUAAAGUAGAUAUUCUCGUGGUUGAAAAGCUUGAAAAUUGAUGGUAUGCUGUAAACACUAAAUAUUGAACAAUUACUUAACCAAAUACUUGAAUACUAAAUAUGCAAAUAUAUUAUUUUUUACUAGUUGCAAGUACACUAUAUAUCCAUUAGGUACUGAGAAGGAACAAAGUGAAUAUUAAAUUAUAUAUAACAUAGAAAUGUCUUCAAUUAAUAUUAUCAACAGAAUAUUAUUCUCAAAAUUUCAAAAUGGUAUUACCAUAAGCAAAGGGAUUAAAGAAUUAUCAUCUUCAGCAAUAGCAUUUGAAUAGAAUUACCAUAGCAGCGUCCUUCAAUGCCCCCCCCCCCCCCAACAUUCGACCUGAUUGUACCACCCUUAAA
rnacentral:lncRNA from 1 species